UACGUAGGGUGCAAGCGUUAAUCGGAAUUACUGGGCGUAAAGCGUGCGCAGGCGGUUAUGCAAGACAGAUGUGAAAUCCCCGGGCUCAACCUUGGAACUGCAUUUGUGACUGCAUGGCUAGAGUACGGUAGAGGGGGAUGGAAUUCCGCGUGUAGCAGUGAAAUGCGUAGAUAUGCGGAGGAACACCGAUGGCGAAGGCAAUCCCCUGGACCUGUACUGACGCUCAUGCACGAAAGCGUGGGGAGCAAACAGG
rnacentral:rRNA from 1 species